UCGACAAGAGUCGCCGUCUCUUCUUCAAUUUGGCCUUGUAGUGGUAGACUUGAGCGAAAACAGAGUAAAAAAAGCUGAACCAUGUCCGAAGAAGCAGAAGAAAUCAUCAAUUUAAGAUCUCAAAUAACUUUUCUUCAGAACAGAGUCCAAGAAUUGGAGGAAGAGAAUGCAAAGUUUUCCUCUCGACUCUCAAGCUGUCGCUGUGACGAGUUACAAGAGAAAAAGCCUAAAGAAAAAUGUGAAAAUCUGGGAGAGGAGAGAGGAGAAAUGAAUUCUGGGUGCAAGAAGAGUGGAAGAAAGAAAGCCACGCCUAAAACGCCAGGUUAUGAUACAAGGAUCAUGAAUCACCAUCCGAGGAGAUAUGUUGCUCUUAAAGUCAUGUAUUUUGGUCAAAGGUUUUAUGGUUUUUCUUUGGAGGCACAAAUGGAUCCGACAGUUGAGUCUGAGAUUUUCAAGGCUCUUGAAACGACAAGACUUUUAAUUGGUGAUAGGAAGGAAAUACAGUACUCGAGAUGUGGUAGAACAGACAAGGGAGUUUCUGCUGUUGGGCAAGUGAUUGCACUGUAUUUACGAUCCAAACUCAAGGACAUUGAUGCACACAACAAACAUUCAGGGGAGACUGUUCCAGAAGAACAGGAUGGUCAGCCAGAAGGGGAAAUUGAUUAUGUGAGAGUGUUGAAUGGAGUCCUUCCAAAAGACAUUCGGAUUGUGGGCUGGUGUCCUGUUCCAAGUGACUUCAGUGCAAGGUUCAGCUGUUUGAGCAGGGAAUAUAAAUAUUUCUUUUGGAAUGACAAUUUGAACCUCUUGGUUAUGGAGACUGCAGGUAAGAAACUUAUUGGGGAACAUGACUUCAGAAACUUCUGCAAGAUGGAUGCAGUGAAGGUGCACAAUUAUAGGCGAAAUGUGAUGUCAUUUGAGAUCUCUCCUUGUGAUAUGAGAUUUGAAGGGCAUCAACUUUAUGCUAUAAAAAUUAAAGGUAGUGCUUUCCUGUGGCACCAAGUCCGGUGCAUGGUUGCUGUGCUAUUUAUGAUUGGCCAAGGUCUUGAAUCCCCUGAAGUAAUAGAUGCAUUACUGGACACCAGGACACUGAGGAAACCCCAGUAUCUCAUGGCUCCUGAAAUUCCGUUGGUUCUUCUAUCCUGUGAGUUUGAAGGUCUCAAGUUUUCAUGUUCUUCAGAUGCUGGGCAAGCGCUGCAUGUUCACUUGGAGAAUGAAUGCCGACUUUACCAUCUCCAGGCUGCUAUCUUUCAAGAGGCUCUGUUGAGUCAUUUGCCUUUGUCAAUUGGUGCAGAAAAUAAAGACUCAUCUAGCAAUGGAGUGACAAGAAAAAAAGCUUCCCAUGUUCCCCUCAUGUCAAGGGAAACUGAGCCGUCAUAUGAAGAGCGGCGUGCUAAGCUGGAAACGGUGAAGUUAAGAGCUUGAUAACCAGUCAGCCAGAGCUGGGAGAGUUUACUGCAACCCAAUCCUGCAGUGUAUUCAAACAUAAGUUUUAUGGGAGACCACAUCUUGCUGGAAAACAAUUGUUUCUUUUCUCAUAGACAGCCAUGGAGCAGUCCUACGAAUCCAACCAAUACUUGGUGGUGUGCACUUCAUUUUAGGAAGAGACAUUUUUUUAGCUGAAAAAGUCGUUUUCACAACCUUCAGAAAUGGAGCUCGUAAAUCUUAGAUGGUGAUAUGGCUUGCUCGGCAAAAUUAUUGUAUGAAUCAAGACCCAGAAACUUCGGCUGAUGGUCCCCAGGAUGGGAAAGACAGGCAAGAGAUUGGGUGCUCCCACUCACUUUUAAUUGUUCGCGCCAUGGUUGAUUGUCAGUUUUUCCUUUUUAGAUUCUUCAAAUUUUUUCUUAUUUACAUUUUUGUCGCUAGACUUUUUUUUUUUUUAAUUUCAUCAUUGUAUUAACAUGGUUUUGUUUCUUGAAAUCUGUUUUGAUUUGUAUGCUUUUGCAUACUCGAUGUGGAGUUAUAACCAGGUGUUAUUGUGUUCUCAAUGUGAAAUUGAAUAUUAGGUGUUAAAUUAAA